rnacentral:rRNA from 1 species
AUUGAACGCUGGCGGCGUGCCUAACACAUGCAAGUCGAGCGGUAACAGGUGUAGCAAUACAUGCUGACGAGCGGCGGACGGGUGAGUAACGCUUGGGAAUCUGCCUAUUAGUGGGGGACAACCCGGGGAAACUCGGGCUAAUACCGCAUACGCUCUACGGAGGAAAGCCGGGGACCGCAAGGCCUGGCGCUAAUAGAUGAGCCCAAGUCGGAUUAGCUAGUUGGUAGGGAAUGGCCUACCAAGGCGACGAUCCGUAACUGGUCUGAGAGGACGACCAGUCACACCGGAACUGAGACACGGUCCGGACUCCUACGGGAGGCAGCAGUGGGG